rnacentral:lncRNA from 1 species
UCUUUUUCCCCGUGAUGCUUAUGCAAUAUGCUAAACACCCCAAAUCAGUUUCACAUUAAGGUGAUUCGUCAAGCUCAAGUGACGUGGUCGAACUGGCAUGCGAUAUAUCGCAUCUUUUAGGUCAAAAAUCUCGGCAGAUUUUGAAUUUUCAGCAAAAAAAGGACGAUAGCCCCUGCGCCUGAGCCUAAAGAAUCAUUCUAAACCCAAAAAUCGGAAAAAUUUAGAGAAAUGAAAGCAGAAUAGUGUUUGGAAAAAAACCUCGCAUUCGAUACAGCUAUCGAGUUCUGUAUCGAAUGCGAGGUUUUUUUCCAAACACUAUUCUGCUUUCAUUUCUCUAAAUUUUUCCGAUUUUUGGGUUUAGGAUGAUUCUUAAGGCUCAGGCGCAGGGGCUAUCGUCCUUUUUUGCUGAAAAUUCAAAAUCUGCCGAGAUUUUUGACCUAAAAGAUGCGAUAUAUCGCAUGCCAGUUCGACCACGUCACUUGAGCUUGACGAAUCACCUUAAAAGCGGUCAAUUUCUACCGUGAUUCAAAAUUCAAUGCCGUUUCCGGCGAAUCGGCAACGCUGCGCCGCGACGGUCAAGUCGUCCGGCGUAUCGGCCGGCGUCGGCGUCGCGGCGAGUGUCAGUCGUGGAAGCUCGGCCGCGAUGAAGCUCCAUGCUGCGCUGGUGACUGGUUUCUUGUGCGUGAUCGCGUGCGGGGCCCAGCGGCGGGCCGGGGCCGGGGCCGGAGGGCCCCGCGGGAGGGCCUCCUCCCCGGCGCCCCCGCCCCUCGUCCAGCGGAUCGAGACGUCCCGAGGGACCUGCGAGUGCGUGCCCUACUACAACUGCGACGCCGACAACACUGUCGACACCACCAUCUUCAAGAUCCGCGUCAGGCGUCAGAUCGAGGAGCGACCCGAGCAAUGUACGGGACUGAAUGUAUGCUGUCUGGUGGACAAAAAUACCAACAAUAACAACAACGGUGGCGACAAUAGUAAUACUGGUGGUAACAGUAACAAUGGUGGCAACAACAAUAACAAUGGUGGCAACAACAAUAACAAUGGUGGCAACAAUAACAGUGGUGGAAACAACAAUUCCAACGGCGCCAACACCAACAAUGGUGCUAACGGCAGUAAUAACGAAAAUGGAAACAACAACAACAACGGUGGAAACACAAAUAAUGGUGAUGGUGAGCCUCAGAAUCCCAACUCCACUCCCACACCGUGCAUUUGCCUCGCCGCCUUUCAGUGUGGUAAAAACGACUCGGAAGUUUUCCAAGCCGGAAAAGGCAUCAUAAAACCAAGGAUACCUUGUGAGAAGGAUGAGGUACUUUGCUGUCAUCCAAGUUUUGCGGGUGGCUUUAGCCCCACUCCCCCUUCGCCAACUCCUGAUGGAGGACUGAGAACUUGUGGCACCCGUAAUAAGAACAUCGACUUCAGCAUCAAUCGAAUUCAGACAGGAGGUAGGUGA